CUCAUUAUUACAAAAAUUUGCUUUAUAGUAGUCACAACUAAGGAUUGUAAAUAUGUUGGCAACAUUCAUAAAAUUUUUAGUGCUACUUGUUUUGUCAACUGUUGUAGUAUGUGAACUAAUCGGUGCACCAAUGCUAACCCAGUGCCCCAACGGUUACAGAAGGGAUUUAAACGACAAUAUAUGCAAACCAGUAUUUAAGGCGGAAUUCAUGAACGAUGAUGAUGAAUAAUUUACAAUAUCUAAUAAUAAAUUUACCUUUAGCGAUUUUUAAUUUUUAUGUACGAUCGUUGUGUUAAAAUGUAAUUAAUUAAUUGAUUAAUACAAUUCAAAUGAUAUUACUCAUGAACUAAUAUUUUCGUCUUUUUUAAGUGAAUAAUAAUAAUAAUAAUAAUAAUAAUAUUUACUGCUUGUUUAAAUUUAUCAUAAAAUAAUGUUCUAGUUUUUCAUAUUCAUUUUAACUGUUAAUUUCAACUCUUUUUUAAUAGCGCAAUCAAAGUACAAUAUUGUAUCGUUUAAAUCCUAAUAAAAAAAACUAAAUCAUGAAAUAGUUGUCCUAUACAAAAUCUAAUUACACAAUUGUCUUAAGAGUUAAAAAAGAGUUAAAUACACGAGACUAUAAAAUUUUUAUUUGAAUUUCAUAAAAAACUGUACCAAAAAAUCUAAUAAAAAUAAGAUUUCAGUGUAUUUAAAUUAUUACCUGUAAGUAUAUUUUUUUCCGUAAUUUCGUUUUUACAAAAUUUUUGUCAUAUUAAACACAAAAAAAUUAUAUUAUUGAACUACUUGAAAAAUUAUAUAUUUAUUGUAACUAUUUCAUAAUUAUGAGAUUAAGCCAAAAAUAGUUACAGUCUAUAGUUCAUCUUUUUUUUUGUGAAAAAUUCCAUUAAUUUCAAAUUUUAAGGCCUAUAAAAAUAGUUAAACUUGAUGGAUAAGGUCCAAAUUUUGGAAAAAAUUUUUUAACAUCAUAAAAUUAUAUUUAGAAAGUAAUAUAUAUAUAUUACUUUUCAUUUAAGUAUUUACAAUGAUUUAACUAUUUAAUUUUUACUUAAUUACUAAUUAGUAGUUAUCUCAUAAACUAGAUUUGAUAGAAAAAAUCUGAAGCCAGGUUCGAAAUGGGCGUCAAAAAUCUAUAAAUAAUUCACCUAAAUAUUGUACACGUCAAAAUGACUGAUGUUUUUAUGUAUUUGACCUAAGUAUUAAUUUGUAUAAUAACUACUUUAGCAUAAAUUAGAAAUAAAAAUAUUUUUUAUAAAAACAUAAAACAAUAUAUUUUGUACUUCAAAAAUGAUUAAAAAUGUAAAAUAUAGUAAAUAAAUAUAAUAAAUAUCUGUAUAAUGUUUUGCUUCAUGUUAAUCUAAAGCUAAAAAAAUUACAUAUAAAUAAUAAACAAUUAAAUGAAAAAUAAUUAUUUAAACAAUAGUUACAACUCAUGCGCCCCAGACUUUCAUAUUCUUAUGUUUGUUAUACUUACGAUCCCAUGGCUUGUGCAUCAAAUUAGAAUAUUUGUUCUGUAGAUUGGUCAGAUAUCUUUUUGCCGGUGACUCUUCUUUGGAACCAACAGAAGUCACUCUGGGAGCCUUUCGUAAAUUACUUAAAAGAUCUCUUGGAGCAAAUCUAUUGUCAAGUAGCG